AUAUAAAUUUACUUUAUUUAACCAAAGCUAGUUUUUUAUGGAAGGCCAUACGUCACAAAUUACGUCAUCAUGCGGAUUAGAAACAGACUAGAAAGAGCAGGAUGUUUUCUGUAUUUGCAUGGCACUCCAUUAUACCACACUGAUGGCUUCUCCAAGAUUAUAGAUAUGAUACAUGUAAACAGGCACAGUUACUUGUCAUCACAAGGAUCAGAAUUCAAGUACCAGAGUAGUCUAACUCCUAAAUCAUCCCGAUUUGUCAAAAGUACAUAGAGCUGUAGCUGAUGGACACAAAUUGUUCAGAAAAAAUCCAGUUACCACACUAAUCACAGCCAUAGAUUUCUGGCGUGCCUUCAGAAGGAACAUAGAUGCAAUGAUGAAUUAUUAUCUCCAGACAUAUGGGUGGCCCUUGAACAGAGAAUUGUCAAAAAUUGAAGCAUUCAAUAAAGAAGAUUAAGAAACAGAAUGUGUCCAGUUGUUUGUUCAUCAAAAGAAUAACUUGGAUAAUCAUAGUGGUGCUUCCUCAAAAUCUGCAUGUGUUCAAAUAAAGCAGUUUCAAAUUAAGAU